rnacentral:rRNA from 1 species
AUUGAACGCUGGCGGCAUGCCUUACACAUGCAAGUCGAACGGUAACGGGCCUUCGGGUGCCGACGAGUGGCGAACGGGUGAGUAAUGUAUCGGAACGUACCUUUCAGUGGGGGAUAACGUAGCGAAAGUUACGCUAAUACCGCAUAUUCUGUGAGCAGGAAAGCAGGGGAUCGCAAGACCUUGCGCUGAUUGAGCGGCCGAUAUCAGAUUAGCUAGUUGGUGAGGUAAAGGCUCACCAAGGCGACGAUCUGUAGCGGGUCUGAGAGGAUGAUCCGCCACACUGGAACUGAGACGCGGUCCAGACUCCUACGGGAGGCAGCAGUGGGGAAUUUUGGACAAUGGGGGCAACCCUGAUCCAGCCAUGCCGCGUGAGUGAUGAAGGCCUUAGGGUUGUAAAGCUCUUUUGCCGGGGGACGAUAAUGACGGUACCCGGAGAAUAAGUCCCGGCUAACUUCGUGCCAGCAGCCGCGGUAAU